UUGGACUUCAGAGUUGAGGCCAAAUAAUCACAGCUGAUCUUUGACAAACUGCAGCUGAACAAUCUGAAUAAAGAAUAAAAGAUGUGAGCUGAAGCCAACAGGAUGCAGGUUAAAACUGAAAUAUGAACAAAUAAAUAAUAAAAAUGUAGAAAAUUAAUUUCCCUGAAUGUAAAAGAAACAUGAUGAACUGAUUCUAACAUCUGAUCCAGUCAAACUGGUUUAAAGAGUCCAAACCAGCAGAACCAGAACAUUUGAUC